GGGCCGGUAGAUCAGCCUGGAAGAUCGCUUCCUUGGCAUGGAAGAGGCCGCGAGUUCGAAUCUCGCCCGGUCCACCA
rnacentral:tRNA from 1 species